CAAGUUGCUUAGCAUGGUGGAACUAUCAGCUGAGUAAAUUGUAUAUUGUUAUUAAGAAAUAACUGAAGUACAUGUGAUGGCAGGCCAUUAUUUCAAUAAAAAAAAUAUAUACUAUGCAAAAUAACAAGAUGGGGAUUGGUAAGAAACAGCAAUUGUAUGAAAAGUAGUUAAGGCAAAUAUAUAUAUUUUUUAACUUGGAGUUGAUAUUCUAUUUUGAACAAAUACUUAAAUUAAACUAUUUUUUUAAGACUAUCAAGCUGGACAUAUAUUGGCAGAAGUGCUGACGUCUCAAUGGAGCUAGAUCAAUCCCAGAGGGUGUGAAAUCCUAAUGAAGUAUGUGCUAGGGAGGGACAUACCAGAAUUACUGAACAAGUCAGGGAACAAGCUUAAGCGUGCUAUUGCCAAUGGUUUCAUCCUUUUCAGGAUUUGUUAUAGGUUGUAAUCUUCAAAGGUUCAAUAUAAAGUUAUAAACUCAGGAGGAUUCAUGUGCCGCUCAUCCUUCCGGAGUAUGGAUUCAUGCAUAUAUUGGAUUCUGAUUUUAUAAGAUUUUCUUAGAGAUUUGAGAUGAGUCGCACGUCUUUGGCUUCCUUCAGUGAAAGAGGGCUUUUCUUGGAGGGCAGCUGGCUAGGUUCAAAGGGUCCCCUGGUAUCGUGUUUACUGUUCUCAGUACCAGUUUGUAUCAAUUGCACAUUUAAUUUGCAACCUGUUUCCUCUAAUUUAAAAAAUCCUACUGGUACAACGGCAGCACCAAUUGAGCACUCCUCCAACGCAAGUUCCCUUUGCUUUUCCCUGUGUUUUCUCUCUCCAUUUUAGUGAUUUCACUGUGCGCCAUUUGUUGAUUCCAUUUGAUUUUGCUGGAUCUGUAGAUGGGGGAUACAGAUGGUGUUGUAGACCUUGAAAUUGUGAGAUCUGAUGCUUAAGACAGAAGAAUGACGAGCAGAACCAGGACAAAAAUGCAGCGGUGAAUGAGCAGGAGAAGGUCCAGGAUGAGGCGAAGGAAGUGUGAGGAAGAGGAAGACUAUGGCACCAAGAUCUGAUGUAUGGGACAGCCACCACAAGAUCCUUAUUGGAGGCAUACUGAUGAAGGCCAAGUGCAAGUAUUGCGGCUGUGAGCUCGACUGCCACUCAAAAAGAAAUGGAAAAUUGUGGCAUGCAUGAGGUGGGCAGGAAUGGCUGGUUGCUACUGACUUGACGACUUCAAAACCAUGUUCCAUUGUUGGUCAAGCUAGCAGUCUAUCAAGUAUCUGUCAUGGUGGUCCUUUUAUUUAUGCAACUGUGUUUGAGAAAUUCAGACUGUAUCCUUUGUGGUUUUGUGUUAGUUGUUCUGUCAUUUAAGUAUUCUUAUUAUGUGUUGUUUGAGACUAUUGUUCUGUCAUUUAAGUAUUCUUAUUAUGUGUUGUUUGAGACUA